rnacentral:lncRNA from 1 species
UAAGAAGGAUUUCAUUUAAACAUAAUUAAGAUACAUAAGUUUGAACUGGACGUACGGUAUGUCCCACUUCCAGUUACAUCAAAAUAUAAAUGUGGCAAGAUAAAAGUUGGUGGAUUUUCAAAACACAAAAUAUCAUUUGAUUGUUGAUCCAUUUUUUCUUUCCCAUACUUGGUUAAAGCGUCUUCCACUCCAUUACCCUCUUUGAAUAUAUGGUGUAUCAUGGUCACCUGGAGAUCCUUGAUCAUAGUCCUGCAUUCAAAAAGAAUGUGUGAGUAUUUUGGUGGAGAUGUUCGUAGCUAAAGCCGUUUCUUUUUUGUAGUGAUUCACCUGAUUCAUUGCGAAAAACUCCUGCUGCUCCUCCCUUAUGGGAUUGAUUAUUAUAGGCCCCUUAUAUAUUUAACUUAUAGUAUCCUUGGG